rnacentral:rRNA from 1 species
GAUGAACGCUGGCGGCGUGCCUAAUACAUGCCAGUCGAGCGAACGGACGAGAAGCUUGCUUCUCUGAUGUUAGCGGCGGACGGGUGAGUAACACGUGGAUAACCUACCUAUAAGACUGGGAUAACUUCGGGAAACCGGAGCUAAUACCGGAUAAUAUUUUGAACCGCAUGGUUCAAAAGUGAAAGACGGUCUUGCUGUCACUUAUAGAUGGAUCCGCGCUGCAUUAGCUAGUUGGUAAGGUAACGGCUUACCAAGGCAACGAUGCAUAGCCGACCUGAGAGGGUGAUCGGCCACACUGGAACUGAGACACGGUCCUGACUCCUACGGGAGGCAGCAGUAGGGAAUCUUCCGCAAUGGGCGAAAGCCUGACGGAGCAACGCCGCGUGAGUGAUGAAGGUCUUCGGAUCGUAAAACUCUGUUAUUAGGGAAGAACAUAUGUGUAAGUAACUGUGCACAUCUUGACGGUACCUAAUCAGAAAGCCACGGCUAACUACGUG